CCCUUAGAUGUUCUGGGCUGCACGCGCGCUACACUGAUGCGCUCAACGAGUUUACGACCUUGCCCGGAAGGGUUGGGUAAUCUUUUUAAAACGCAUCGUGAUGGGGAUAGAUUAUUGCAAUUAUUAAUCUUUAACGAGGAAUUCCUAGUAAGCGCGAGUCAUCAGCUCGUGCUGAUUACGUCCCUGCCCUUUGUACACACCGCCCGUCGCUCCUACCGAUUGGAUGGUCCGGUGAAGCCUCGGGAUUGUGGUUCUUGCCGCUUUAUUGUGGCGUGACCGCGAGAACUUGUCUAAACCUUAUCAUCUAGAGGAAGGUGAAGUCGUAACA
rnacentral:rRNA from 1 species